GCUCCCGUAGUUUAAAGGAUAGAAUAUGAGAUUCCGGUUCUCAGGGUAACGGUUCGAUUCCGUUCGGGAGUA
rnacentral:tRNA from 1 species